CAGUAGCCGCGGUAAUACAGAGGGUGCGAGCGUUAAUCGGAAUUACUGGGCGUAAAGCGUGCGUAGGCGGUGAGUUAAGUCUGCUGUGAAAUCCCCGGGCUCAACCUGGGAAUGGCAGUGGAUACUGGCUCGCUAGAGUGUGUCGGAGGAUGGUGGAAUUCCCGGUGUAGCGGUGAAAUGCGUAGAGAUCGGGAGGAACAUCAGUGGCGAAGGCGGCCAUCUGGGACAACACUGACGCUGAGGCACGAAAGCGUGGGGAGCAAACAGGAUUAGAUACCCGCGUAGUCCCUGUCUCUUAUAC
rnacentral:rRNA from 1 species